rnacentral:rRNA from 1 species
GCAUAACGCGAAGAACCUUACCAGGUCUUGACAUGCAGCUGCACAUUCCGUGAAAGCGGAACUUCUUCGAGAGUGCUGCACAGGUGCUGCACGGUCGUCGUCAGCUCGUGCCGUGAGGUGCUAGCUUAAGUGCUAAAACGAGCGCAACCCUUAUCGUUUGUUACAAGUGUCAAACGAAACUGCCCCGGUUUAACGGGGAGGAAGGUGGGGAUGACGUCAGAUCAGCGUGGCUCUUACGACCUGGGCGACACACGUGCUACAAUGGGUAGGAACAAUGGGACGCCAAACCGUAAGGUGGAGCAAAUCCCAGCAAAGCUAUCCUCAGUUCGGAUUGAGGGCUGCAACUCGCCCUCAUGAAGCUGGAAUCGCUAGUAACCGCAAAUCAGCCUCGUUGCGGUGAAUACGUUCUCGGGUCUUGUACACACCG